rnacentral:lncRNA from 1 species
UGGAUUUGAUCAAAAGGAUAAACGUUGCGCUAGGUUACCAAAAGUUGUUUUAGGUUCUGAAUAUGCGGGGCCUGCACAAGUGUGGACUGCACACUUAUGGCUGGUUGCAAAACAAAUUGCGGAUGCGAGGCAAAGUGCACUCUUGCAUACGGCUUGCACCUUGCAAAGUCGCAGGUCGCGCGAGAAAUCGCCCAUCUUUAUACGCUAGCGCAUACGUGAUUCGGUUUUCCGCACUUGUCAUAUCCGGCACGUAAGUGUAAAUGCAUUGGAGUGGCAUGCGGCAUAUAUGGCUUCGUCUGCGUCAGGAACGCCUGGCCCAUGGCCUCACACAAAAGGAAAUGCCGAAUCUUCUUUUCGGCCUAGUACAGAAAUGCGUUCGCCUGUCAAGAAGGUCUCAGUGGUAUCCUUGUUGUCGCCCACGCCUGCUUCACUGUAGGCUUCUUCUCAAACACGCACGCUGGGCCCUAUGCCCAACGGUGUCGCGAUAUAGUUGACAAUAAUCAGUCAGCUCUCGAGUGGUAAAUCUGUGUACUGAGAGUUCCGGACUGGAUGCUAAGUGUGACCGAUAUCAAAAGCCGUUAUGCAUCAAAAGAUGGAAAGAUGCAAAUUACAACGAAAACCUGUUGUACUUUUAGUACUUCAGUAAAGGGCCGUCCCUAGUAGGCCACUAAAAAUCAUUAUGAUAAAAGGCCAUGGUUUCCAUGGACCUUAUUUUUACUUUUAGGGGAACGAGGCACU